GGACCCGCACAAGUAGUGGAGCAUGUGGUUUAAUUCGAAGAUACGCGCAGAACCUUACCAACACUUGACAUGUUCGUCGCGACUCCAAGAGAUUGGAGUUUUCGGUUUGGCCGGACGAAACACAGGUGCUGCAUGGCUGUCGUCAGCUCGUGUCGUGAGAUGUUGGGUUAAGUCCCGCAACGAGCGCAACCCUCACUUUUAGUUGCCAUCAUUAAGUUGGGCACUCUGAAAGAACUGCCAGUGAUAAGCUGGAGGAAGGUGGGGAUGACGUCAAGUCCUCAUGGCCCUUACGUGUUGGGCUACACACGUGCUACAAUGGUAUCUACAACAGGAAGCAAGACUGCGAAGUUAAGCAAAUCCUUAAAAGAUACCUCAGUUCGGAUUGCACUCUGCAACUCGAGUGCAUGAAGCUGGAAUU
rnacentral:rRNA from 1 species